AGCUCUGUUGCAUAAAGCGGAUUGAGUGGAUGAAGUCGCGGCUUGUCCCGUCAGCAGAACUCCUCUUCGUUACCUGUAGCAUGUUUACAUUAAAUUCAUGUACAUACAUUCAAUUGUUUAACUUAAAAAGACUAGGUAUUAUUCAUGGUAUUCGAAGACACCUUUACAUGACAUAGGUCACCAUGUUUUCGUUUAUUUCAAAGCUAAAAGAGCGCGUCGAUACUUUUCUGAACCAGAAGAACUUUGUAACCGAUUUCCUCAACAAAAUCGAAGAAAAGACUGGACUUAAGAAGCGUUUACUUGUAAUAGGAGCUGCCUCUGCAACAGGACUUUAUUUAUUGGUUGGAUAUGGAGCCUCCCUGAUCUGCAACUUGAUUGGCUUUGUUUAUCCUGCAUACUAUUCCAUCAAGGCUAUUGAGAGUCCAAACAAAGACGAUGACACACAGUGGCUAACUUACUGGGUGGUGUAUGGAUUCUUUGGCGUGGGGGAAUUCUUCUCAGACAUCUUCCUCUCCUGGUUUCCUUUCUACUAUUUGUGCAAAUGCCUGUUCUUGUUAUGGUGCAUGGCUCCAGUACCCUGGAAUGGCUCUCAGCUGUUGUAUAAGCGUCUGGUGCGACCACUCUUCCUCAAACACGAGGCCACUCUGGACAACAUGGUUUGCAAUCUGAGCGGGAAGGCUAUAACAGCUGCAGAAACUGUUACGAGAGAGGCAUCACCUGUUUUUGUCAGGGUCACAAACGACUGGCUCAAGGAUCCGUUCACUUUAAACUCCUCCUUUCAGAGAGCCUACUCUGCUCUGAUUGGUCAGAUGUCCCAGUCUGUUGUGAUUGGUCUACUGCUUACGGCGUGUGUCGGAAAGGAAACGCCCACUACCAUAUCUAAAUUUCAGCUCAGUAAUAAUGUCGUCAGUUUUACCUUAUCGAUUUGAGCCCGAGUCCGAUAGCGAUACAUCUGAAGAUCAACCCGAACCACAAUCGCAAGCAGGACGAGAACAGGACGUUUGUCAGUGUUCUUCAGACUCUGGUGAGAAACAGGAUUCACCCAGCUGAGCCAGCUGCCAAAGAGCUUCCUGGUCCAUCUAAUGAACCUAAGGUAGACUGAACUUCACACAGGGUUCCACUUCCAAAGUCACAGGACAGCAAGGAAUGAAAUCACCUGGACAUCAGUAGACAAUGGUAUAAUGAGCCUGUGCAGUUUACUUGAAGUAUGUUAUCUAAUACCAGUUAAGUGUAAGGGUCCACUCACUGGUCCAACGACGGUAUCCAAUGACGUGGUAGAAGGAUUCCCACGUGUUCCUGUCUUUUUGAAGCGAUGUGAAUAUAUUUAAAUUUGUCAUUCCAAUUCUGCUUGACUCUCUCUUAAAUUAAAUCUGACUCCAAUUGUAAAAACCUCGAUGUUGUAUUUAUUUCUUAGUUAUUCAUAUUUUGAUACGUUUGAUCUUCUCUACUUGAUUAAUUCAAAUUUAUUCUAUACUUUAAGUUGUGCUCGUUCAUUCGGAUUCCGUGUUGAGUCACACGCCGGUCGUGUACACGGAUCUCAUGGUCACAAACUCGCCAGUCUUGGUCAUUAGCCAGGUAAUUGACUAAUACUAUUUAGACGACCGCCCCAUGCUUACCUUUUCCUAAAUAGUACUUUAUUACUCUUAGAUAUUAACACUUAGUUAUAGUAACGUUAUCUCUAGACAGAGGUCAUGACCACUAAAAUCUACAGAGACAGACCAAUAAUAUCUAAGUAAAAUUAGCUUUAUAUAAACAUGCCAUAGUUUCCUAUGUACACGUUAACUAGAGUAAGAUUACAAUAACCAGAGGUUUAGACUUCCCCUUAUUUAGACUUGGUCGAUCAACUUUAUGUUGUCCUAAACGGGUAUUUCUUAUCGAGCCUGUACACACUAAGUACACUUAACUAGAGCCAUGUCAUUAGUCUGGCCUCUUAGUUCCCUUAGUUAGUAACACUUAAUUACAAUAAUGUUAUUUCUAGCCAGAGGUCAUGACCACUAAAUCUACAAAGAUAGACCAAUAAUAUCUG